GACGAAGAACGUAGCGAAAUGCGAUACGUAAUGUGAAUUGCAGAAUUCAGUGAAUCAUCGAAUCUUUGAACGCAUAUUGCGCUCUCUGGUAUUCCGGAGAGCAUGCUUGUUUGAGUAUCAGUAAACACCUCAACUUCCAUAUCUUUUUUGAAAUGGGAGUUGGACUUGAGUGAUCCCAACGCUUUUCCUCACCGAAAAGUGGCGGGUUACUUGAAAUGCAGGUGCAGCUGGACUUUUCUCUGAGCUAUAAGCAUAUCUAUUUAGUCUGCCUAAAAAACAGAUUAUUACCUUUGCUGCAGCUAACAUAAAGGAGAUUAGUUCUUGUGCUGACUGAUGCAGGAUUCACAAAGACAGGCUUCGGCCGACUUUGUAAACUCGAUCUCAAAUCAAGUAAGACUACCCGCUGAACUUAAGCAUAUCAAUAAGCGGAGGA
rnacentral:misc_RNA from 1 species